AGAACGAACGCUGGCGGCAUGCCUAACACAUGCAAGUCGAACGAGACCUUCGGGUCUAGUGGCGCACGGGUGCGUAACGCGUGGGAAUCUGCCCUUGGGUUCGGAAUAACAGUUAGAAAUGACUGCUAAUACCGGAUAAUGACUUCGGUCCAAAGAUUUAUCGCCCAAGGAUGAGCCCGCGUAGGAUUAGCUUGUUGGUGAGGUAAAGGCUCACCAAGGCUACGAUCCUUAGCUGGUCUGAGAGGAUGAUCAGCCACACUGGGACUGAGACACGGCCCAGACUCCUACGGGAGGCAGCAGUGGGGAAUAUUGGACAAUGGGCGAAAGCCUGAUCCAGCAAUGCCGCGUGAGUGAUGAAGGCCUUAGGGUUGUAAAGCUCUUUUACCCGGGAUGAUAAUGACAGUACCGGAGAAUAAGCUCCGGCUAACUCCGUGCCAGCAGCCGC
rnacentral:rRNA from 1 species